GGAGACGUCGCAUAGUGGUCUAGUGCGCUCGCUUGGAAAGCGAGUAGGGGGCAACCUCUCGCGAGUUCGAAUCUCGCCGUCUCCG
rnacentral:tRNA from 1 species